AUUCCGUGAUGGGGACAUUAUCUAAGCAGCUCUUUGAAUAUUUCCCAAGAGUCAAAUAAGGAUUCAUCAUCUCCUUGUAUAAACGAAGUAAUAUCAUUCCUUAUCUU